CCAUGCUCCGCGCUCACAUAGUUUCUAAUGAUUCUUUCAUAUAGCUCUUAAUGUUCUUCCAUUCUGUGCUCUGCACUUGUGUAGUCUCUAACAAUUCUUCUGUGUAGCUUCUUACAUUCUUCUGCUCUGUGUUCCACACUCAUAUAGUCUCUAACAAUUCUUCUGUGUAGCUUCUUAUAUUCUUCCACUCUGUGUUCCACACUCAUGUAGUCUCUAACAAUUCUUUCAUGUAGUUCUCAACAAUUUCUUCAUCUCACAUUCUGUGCUCAUAUAGCUUCUAAUGAUUCUUAUGCAUAUCUCUUAAUGUUCUUCUGCUCUGCACUCCACUGUGGAGUGGCUUCUGAUAUUCUUCCACUCUGAACUUUUCUCUAUAAGAACUUCCUUCAUACAAUCUUUUCUUCUGAUUUCUUUUCUCUUUCUUUCCUUAAUCAAUUCAUAAUCUGUAAUUAGAAUAGUACC
rnacentral:sRNA from 1 species